AUUCUCUAUCUGAUAGAGGGCAAAAAUUUCCAUUUAACUGUGUCUCACUUCGAACUCCUCAUUUGAAAGGGGCACCAGAAUGAAUCUUUUUGUUCCAGCAGUUCUCAAAUUCUCAUCCUCUGUCGAAGAGGUCUAUAAAUGUCAUCCAGUCAUACCAGGGCUUCAGUGCCUCUCCCUCUCCCUAUGGGAGCCUCAGACACACCACAUCUAGUCAUAUAUAUUUCCUCUUCUCCCUCUGUCUAUUGGGCAACAAAGCCUUCUCGAAUGCCCAUAUUGGAAUGAAAUAUUUCCUUUUAUUUUCAGUGGUGGACUCAUACCUACCCUCUCUUGUAAAGAGUAAAUAGAUCUUGUCGUAUUGACUAUGUGUGCCUGCUAUAUCCCAACUGUCUAAGAUUACUUCCAAACUUCUUCCUGCUAUAAAUAUUCGGGGACAAUUCCCCAUUCAAGAAAAGUGGCCUUGCUCUUAUGUCAUCUGACUAAAGGUUUCAUAGACCAAAGAUAACCAUCCAACCUGUUGGAAUACUGAAACAAUUGCUGCCUGCUGUCCACACACGACAUAAAAUAUGUGGAUUUCCUAAAUUCUGCAAAAAAGAUUUGGAAGCUGAUCAAGCAAUACUGGAACACCCUCUUCUCCAGAAGACAGAGACAUCCUGGCCUCCAUGCAGAGGAAUGUGUGGAUGGACAUAUAUUUAAGGAAGACACUAAACCAGAAACUACUACAUUACACCCUCUCAGAAGACUUCUAAGAUUGUUGUCAUGCCUACCAGAGACAUUCAGAUGAUGUGUAUUCUUGAUGUGUAUUCUUGAUUGUGAUUUCAUGUUUGGAGCUGAUGAAGGAACCCAGGAGAUAAACAUAUGCCUGAGAAGAAGAACUAGUGUGGAACUGUCAGCCAGGUUUUUGAUGAGUACUCGGACUGCUUCCUGAUCUGGCACCAAAUUUACUACAGUGGACAGAUGCUCUAGACUCUGAUGAGGAGUUGCUAGCUGUUAGGAAGAACCUGGAAUGGGCUCCACUGCAUGAGGUUUGAAGUCUCCAGAGCAGCAAGGGGAGUGGUGAGUAGAACUCAUCAUCAUUAGGUCACUCAUCAUCGAUGGAAUGUUUCCAAGCUUAGUAUACAGACAUAGAUGGUUGAACACAAACCUGUCAGGCUGAUAAAGAACUAGACAUCUACUAACGUCCUUGGAACAAUGUUCAGAUUGCUGCACAUCCUCCUGAAGAUGCUACGGAUGACAUUGUUCCUUGUGAUUGUUGUUCUCUUUUUGUUGUUGCUGUUUUCUUUUAACUUUUGAAGAGGAUACUUUAUUAGUCUGUUGCUAUGUUAGUCAUCUCCUGGCAUUAGAAACCUACAUGCCACUGCUUAAAUUUUUUACAUUUCCUACUCUUUUUGGAAAACACAAUGUAUGCACAUCAUUUUUUCCUAUUGUUUCAAAGACAUACCACUAUGUAAUUCAACUUUACAAUUAUAAUCAUUUUGACCAAUAUUCACAUCAAUAUAAAUUUUAUGUGUAAAA
rnacentral:lncRNA from 1 species